ensembl:lncRNA
UGUAAACUCCUUGCUGAUAGGAUAAGAGAUGUCACAAUGUUGACUUAUACUCUUCUUGUACUUAAACACAAAUAUGGAUUUAAUUCACCUCACGGGGUACAACAAAAAAUCCCCUUCAGUUUGAUGUCAGAAAUGAGAUUGCUGCUCACUGACAGAAGUGACUGCACUGGAAUUGGAGGGGAGACCCAAGAUGACACCAUCAUGAGAGUGUUCCUAGGUCUUGUAGAAUGGAGGUGGAACAUUUGCCUCAGUCUGGGACUUUUGGAAGCAAGCUGUAACUAUUAUGCUGGAGUUCAUGUUAAAUUUUGAAUUUCACUUCAGAGUGACCCAAUCAGCUGGGCCCAGUGGCUAGAUUUCUAACAGUAUCUGCUGAAGAUUGAGUUAUAAGCUCAGGGAUACAGAAGUCUUUCUUUCUUCUUAAGAUUUCACCUUUUGAGAUUACUAAAUAUGUACAUGCAAUUUCCUACUGAACCUUACUGGAUUUACUGGAAACUGUUUACUGCUCUGACUAUACCUUUGCAGCUUUGUAGAUUUUUACAGCAAAAUUAUGCUAGUAUAACUUGUGUAACACAAAAAAGCAUUUCUCCAACUCUCUGCUGUCUUAUACACAUUUAUUUCCAGUUUCUUCCUGUCAGCAGCUCAGUGGCCCAGAGUCGCAUUACACCUUUGCGCCUUUGAAUCUAAGUGUGAUAGUAGCUCAUCUACAGGAACAGGGGUAUUACAUGCAUGCGAGUGACAACAAAACAGGC